UUGUUUUUUUUUUUCAUCAAACAAGCACGUUUAACUUUUCAUAGCAGAUGAAUUCAUGUCAGCAAACAAGACACCAUUAAAAUACAAAAUAGCAGUGAUGUAUCUAAGUGCAGCAUUUGAAAAACACCCAAAGGAAAAUACAAUCCAACAAACAAAGCCAUCCCGUGUUUAGUACUCCUCGUGAUCAUCAUCCUCUCCUUCUUCCAAUUCAGCACCAACCUCCUCGUAAUCCUUCUCCAAAGCAGCUAAAUCUUCACGUGCUUCACUGAACUCGCCUUCUUCCAUACCCUCACCAACAUACCAGUGGACAAAA
rnacentral:misc_RNA from 1 species